ensembl:lncRNA
GGUGGCUCCUGGUCUCACCUAGGACAUACUUCCCUUUGGGAGGUGAGGGGCCUCUUGUGGCCCCACGGAGGGGUCCAGGUCUGCUGCCCUCAGCCCAAAGGUGCCGUUCCCGACAGCGUCUCUGUGUGAAUGUGUGAGUGUGUGGGUGGGGAGUCCAGGAGAGGGGCGCAGUCUCUGUAGCCCAUGGAAGUGCCUGGAGCAGCAGCCAGGGACUUUCUCUGUCCUUGGCACCUGUCACUACCUGUACCCUCUUUCGGGCUGCUGUGAGCACCGUGCGGUGAGGUGGGGGAUUACUGAGGGUCCUGGGCUACGGAUACGCUGGCACGUGGAGGUAAGAUGGAAUGUUCUGAGCACAGGCAUUGUUUGGAUUCUGGGCGAGGAUUUCAGGAGAGCUUCUUGGAGAAGGAGGGAAGGCUGCUUCCAGGGAGAGUCCUGAACAUGUGGCCUGAGCCCUUCCCCUACCCACACCCCAUGCUCUCUGUUCUAGACCUGGAUCAGGGCCCACAGAACUGGCCUGCUGCCGAACCCGGACCCUGUCCAUCCUCCACAAGGAGCCUCGGAGUCCAGCGACCAGGAAGCCAUUGCGUGGCUGACCUAUGACCCAGUGGAUCCCUGGCAGUCAGUGGUCCCAGAGGACGAGGAGGAGGGCCCUGGCGCAGGCCUCCCAGAGGCUGUGCUGAGAGCAGGGCAUGUGCUACAGGGAGGGCAGCUGCCUGCCUACCUGCCGCAGGAGGACUGGGUCCCUGCAAGCGCCCCCAGGCCAGCUCCCCCACAGUCAGAGGGCAGCAGUGGUGACUACUGUGCCCUGGGCUGCUCUGGGGGCUGCCACCCCUGUACCUUCCCAGGAAGCACACGGAGCUCUGGGCCCAGCCUGGUUUUGGCCCACGGCCUUUCUGGUGACCAGCAGAGCCUGGAUGCCUGGCGAGGAAGUACCUGUGUGGGAGUCGGUCACGGAAAUCCCCUGCCUUGGAAGCAGUCGCUCCCCCCGGGCCCUCCGGAGCCCCUUGCCUGCUCCCCGUCUCCAUGAAUCGCCUCUUCUGGGCAUUUUGUAGAAAUGGAGUUACAGGGUGCGUGACUUGCCCCACGGCCUUAUUCCUCAGUGUAGUGUUUUCGAGGUUCGCCCACUUCGUGGCAUCAGUGGCCUCACCCUUACUGUGACCCUUGCGCUGUUACCAGGUUUUCCCUGUUGCAAGCAGCACUGCUGUGAAUAUUCAUGGAAAAGUUUUUUUUGGUACCUGUUUUCUCUGUUUCUGUGUGUAUUCCUAGGAACGGAAUUGCUAGAUCACAUGGUAUGAUCAUAUCUAUGUUUAGAAUUUUUGAGGAACUGCCAAACUGUUCUCCACAGUGACUUCAGCAUUUUACAUCAAUGGUGUACUCGGGUUACAAUUUCUCCACAUCCUCACCAACUGUUGUUAGUGUCCUUAAAAAAUAUAUAUAUUUUUAAAGCUUCUUAAUUUAAAUAAUCUCUGCAUCCAAUGUGGGACUUGACUCACGACCCUGAGAUUGAGAGUCCCAUGCUUGGGGUGCUUGGGUGGCACAUUCGAUUUUAAGUGUCCGACUCUUGGUUUUUGUUCAGGUCAUGAUCUCGGGGUCACGCGAUUGAGCCCCGUGUAGGACUCAGCACUCGGUAUGGCAUCUGUUUGGGAUUCUCUCUCCCUCUCCCUCUGCUCCUCUCCGUCAUUCUAACUCUCUCUAAAAUAAAUAACUAAAUCCUUAAAAAAAAAAGAGAGAG